GACGAACGCUGGCGGCGCGCCUAACACAUGCAAGUCGAACGAGCGAGAGAGAGCUUGCUUUCUCGAGCGAGUGGCGAACGGGUGAGUAACGCGUGAGGAACCUGCCUCAAAGAGGGGGACAACAGUUGGAAACGACUGCUAAUACCGCAUAAGCCCACGGCUCGGCAUCGAGCAGGGGGAAAAGGAGCAAUCCGCUUUGAGAUGGCCUCGCGUCCGAUUAGCUAGUUGGUGAGGUAACGGCCCACCAAGGCGACGAUCGGUAGCCGGACGGAGAGGUUGAACGGCCACAUUGGAACUGAGACACGGCCCAGACUCCUACGGGAGGCAGCAGUGGGGAAUAUUGCACAAUGGGGGAAACCCUGAUGCAGCGACGCCGCGUGGAGGAAGAAGGUCUUCGGAUUGUAAACUCCUGUUGUUGGGGAAGAUAAUGACGGUACCCAACAAGGAAGUGACGGCUAACUACGUG
rnacentral:rRNA from 1 species